AACUGCAUCUGUGUCAAAGGAGAAUCAUUGCCCGGAUGAUUUUUUUUACAAAGUCCGGAAGUGAAAAAUUUGACUUUUCUACGCCAGAAGUUACAGCUAAUGUUCCUAAGACAAACCAGGCUUUCCUGAGUUCUGAUCUGGACAUUUCAGUUAUUGACUCUGACGUAGAAGGUAGAAAUACAAGCUCUCUUUUGGGGGGUAAAUAUGUA
rnacentral:lncRNA from 1 species